rnacentral:rRNA from 1 species
GACGAACGCUGGCGGCGUGCCUAAUACAUGCAAGUCGAGCGCAGGAAACUGACGGAACUCUUCGGAGGGAAGGCAGUGGAAUGAGCGGCGGACGGGUGAGUAACACGUAAGGAACCUGCCUCAAGGAUUGGGAUAACUCCGAGAAAUCGGAGCUAAUACCGGAUAGUUCAUCGGACCGCAUGGUCCGUUGAUGAAAGGCGCUCCGGCGUCACCUUGAGAUGGCCUUGCGGUGCAUUAGCUAGUUGGUGGGGUAACGGCCCACCAAGGCGACGAUGCGUAGCCGACCUGAGAGGGUGAUCGGCCACACUGGGACUGAGACACGGCCCAGACUCCUACGGGAGGCAGCAGUAGGGAAUCUUCCACAAUGGACGAAAGUCUGAUGGAGCAACGCCGCGUGAGUGAUGAAGGUUUUCGGAUCGUAAAACUCUGUUGUAAGGGAAGAACACGUACGAGAGGGAAUGCUCGUACCUUGACGGUACCUUACGAGAAAGCCACGGCUAACUACGUGCCAGCAGCCGCCGUAAGAC